AUGCCUAUGAGUGCAUGAAAGAACACCAAGACCCAUCUCUACUCUCUUUAACAUACCCUGACAUGCAGCAUCCCUUGCACUUCACUGAUGCAGGGAGCCUAGGGCAGAAGCUUGCUUCUGACAAUGCCACAUUGGGAAGCAGCAGUCUUGGUCAGGAUGAGCCUGGGACAUGCACAGUGUGUUGGUCUCCAGCAUGGACUUUGCAGACAUGACUACACUGGUGGCAGAAUUUCACCUCCCCAAAUGUUCAACCCACUCUCUGAACUGAACCAAUUCCAGGUUCUCACAGCCACCCAAUGCAGAGACUCCAUCGUCAUCAGGAGCGAUUCACACCCUUAAACCAGGUGAAGAGGUAGGAAGAGAAAAGCCCUCAUCUGAUUGAUGGAGAUUCUCUGGCCAGAAUCUAGUAUCAGGACCUGGUGGAGGGACAGAGCCUGGGAACAGUGCUGUGGCUAGAGAAGGUGAUAUUGACAUCAUCACCCAGUAUAUAGAGGGCAAAGCUCAGAAAGCCACACUCUGCAGACCCAGCAGACCUAGGAAUCAUAGAAGACAAGACCAAGAGUACUAGAGAAAUCAACUCCAAGAAAGCUGAGGGAGCUGAUGCUAUGAAGUCACAGAGUCAAGACAGAAGACAAGCCCACUGUCCUCAACAACAACAACAAGAUCAAUCCACCUGAGCUCAACCCUGAUGGCUUUGACAAGCUUCAAAACCACCUCAGCGAGCACAUGCUGGAGUCUGUGAAGGUCUGUCACUCACUGUGGAAGAAGGGUGAGAGGGAAACUGGCAUCUCCUGAACCUUGAACUCUUUGUGCCACUCUGUGCUCUAAUCGUAACAGAGUUGGUUACACUUUAGCCUCUGGGGCAAUUGCCAUUUUCUUUAUCCAGGAUUACAUAUAGCAAGCAGAAUUCAUUUAUUUAUUAACUCACUUUUCGUUUCUUGAAUUGGGACCCACUCCAUACCCAGCAUCUCCUAGAACUGACUACAUGGAACAGGCACUCACUGAACUCAAAAAGAUCUGCCUGCUUCCCCCUCUGCAACAACCUCCAACUCAGCCUCUGCCUCCCCUACAGCCUCCACAUCUGCACACUCCUAGGCCACUGUCUCAAGUGUGCUGGGACGAAAGGAAUUCUCCAACCAGCAAGGUGGAAUCAACGUUUUUUUUUUUUCUUUUUUUUUUUUCUGUACCCGUGGAUAACCACAUUUCAGUGCAUGACUUGAUGAAGAGUCCAUGUGUACUCCAGGGUACAUUUUUGGUACAUACCUAAACUCCAAAGAGACUAAGCCACAUGUUUUUACAAAUGCAACUUAACUCAGAUUCAUUUUUCCCCUGACAAUCUGUCUUGUUUCAGUUGUAGGCUCUACUUGUUACAAUGCCCUUGAAGCACUGACCUCAUAUGAGGUGUGCUCAUGCUAUCCUGGGUAUUUUCUCCUUUUGUAUUAAAGUUAUGAUUGCUUUUCUACUUCUAAGUAGUGGGGAAUCUCAGAAAUUUUAUUCACCCUCUCCAUAGAGACUCAAGGUGCAACUUUCUUCACAAUAUCUAACUCCCAACUACAGUGUAUGUCCAACAUUGUUCGUUCUAACAAGGGCUAAGUCCAGUCUAACUCACCUAGAAAAUAUUAACAAACCUAGCAUGAAAAGAUCCUACUACGUGAAUGCAAUGAUCCUCACAGGGACAAAUUUGAGUACAGCAGAAUGAUGGAAAGCAAUGGCUUAGGGAGGCCUCUGGUUUUAUCACUCUCUGUGUGUGGCUUAAUGACAGCUUUGACCACUGCCAUCAGACUACUGUGUUCAUCUUAUACAUUAGGAGCAGUAGAAACACAUUUGGAUGGAUAUCUCCUAAUCUUGGUAUUAUUAUUUUAAACUUUAUGUAUUCAAACUAAGGGUCUUGUAAAAUAAUCCUUAUUAAAGAAACUCAGGAAGCACUUUUGAUAUUAAAGCAAUUCACACAAUGCUGUACCUGUAUUGAAUCCUCAAUAUCAUUAUUUCUCAUUGUACUAUUCACUGAACAUGAUUUUUUAAAACUAUAUAUUGUACACUGAGCCCAGUAACUUUGUGACCAAGGCCUACCCAUUCCUUAACUCUCACCAAAAUCUUAGGCAUUGUUCUCAUGCUCAACAGCAUUGCCUUCAGUGUCAGGAAUGGAACAUGUAGGUGUGUGUAAUCUCCCAUCCAUAUAGCGAGACAGCAUCGGGAGAUAUUUGUCUGGGACUGGAUACAUAUGGUAUAAAAUGAUUAUCCCGAGUUACAAGAACUCUCCUGCAAUCACCUUGACUACACCCAUCACUUUAGCUGAAAUGGUUUUGUUGUGUGUAGACAUCACAUAUUCCUUAUCCAUUGCUCUGUUAUUGGACAGCAAGAUCAGGUAAUAUAGAUAUUCCUGAAAACACCUGCCAUCUAUACUCAUGUGCAAAGCAAUAACAUGUUCAAUUGCUUGGAAUAGUAGGGAUGGAAAUUGAGAUAGAUCUGGUAUUGGUGUUUAAAGUGACUCCAUACUGAAAUAGAGAGAGAGUAGAAUACUUCACAUUAUCUCCACCAACUUAUUGGUGUUUCCUGUGGAAGCAAUACUUGGAAGCCCCCUACUUUCAGUUAACUCUCCAAUUCUAUUCUCUAGCAUCAAGAAAGACCAUUUUCCCGUGGGCCUGGUGUUCACAUUCAAUUAAUGUCUAGAAUGACAAGUCAAGUUUGCAUGAACCUCCAUGGCUCCUUCUACUAUGUACAGUUAAGCUUCACAGCCACAGACCUGUCUAUCACUGCAUCCAUCUCUUCAAUUACUUUCAAAGUUCUCCAUCCAUCUGAUCAUCCAUAACAAUGGGAUGUUCACUUGAUUUUGGAACAGAAAGCCAUGCUACACUAUUCUACCCUAGUGCUCUAGCUCUCAAUUCCAUUGGGCUCCUACUGGCAGGACAAUCCCUGAGCUUUGGAUGGACUGCUUUGUGCAUGAUCCAUUUCUGAGUACCAGCCGGCCAUCUCACCACAACAGCAGCCACUGAGUCUCAGCAGCCUAAACAAUGACAGCUCUCUCCAGCAGCAACAGAAACAAUGCCAAAGGAAGGCCAGCAAAGAGUCAGACUGUAACAGUUACAGCUGCACCUGAAACUACAUUAAUCUCCUGCAAAACCACAAGGGUUUAGAAGGGAAACAUAGAGACCCAACUAUUCCAGUCAACAAAACAAUAGCAGUUGUCUUCCCUCUAGACCUGGAACUCCUCCAUCAAUGGAGAUUUUGUGGUGGGUUGCAGUACACGACACGAAUUUUCUUCUGUGCAGGUGUACACAUAUCAAAUUGGAGAGUUGUUUAAAUUAUAGCUAUCAACUCUGCUUUCGCCUUACCAGUGUACACAUCUCUCUUGACAUUUUAAUAUGUGGGAGAGACAGCUGACAUCCUAAUAGCACAAAUCCAGACAAUUCUCCCCAAAAAUGAUGGAAGAGCCUGGCUUGUUCUAUGAAAGCCAGCCUGCUAUCAGGAGGGGGUUCCAGCUUGGGGCUAAUCUGACUCCUUCAUAGCCUGCUACUCAAUCAGUUUGGUGCUAUUCUACGUUUGGCUCAAUAACUUAAACGGGAAUGAAAUACUUUUCAUAUUCUGGGAAGUCGUAAGGAUAUUCUUGGCCAACAUCUCCUGAGGCUUAAGCCCCAUCUUAGCCGUUAGCAUUUAGCAGGAAUAUGUCUUCAGGAAGUGCCAUUUUUCACCCAUGCAGGAUACCAUCUUUCAAAUUAUUUAACUUACAUUUAUUUUCCUGGAGAUCCUGUCCCAAAGUUUUAUUUUACCAUAUUUAUGUGUUACCUCUUGAAAGCCUUUUCUUUUCUACGAGCAACAGAAAGAUAGUAGGAACUGACAAUUGGGGACUUGGAAAAGAAUUAGAAGGAGUAGAGGGUUCAGAAACUAAAACCACUCUAGGUUGUUAGAGAAAAUAAGUUCAUUAUGACACUGAAAGAAAAAUAAUGUGCAAAUGUUAAAAAAAUAGAAAACACUGAAAUAAUGGGAAUUAAACACAGAACACAGUUCUAUCUAUCUAUCUAUCUAUCUAUCUAUCUAUCUAUCCAUCUCUCUUAUCUAUGGAUCUCUCAUUUUUGCUCCCCUCUAAGACUUCUCAGUAACACAGGCCCAGUGAUGUUCUACUCACCUGGGUCUAGGCUGCUAAAAGAACACACUUAUUUUUCAGAAUGGUCUACAACCAGGAGCCUGGAUGAACCUUCCAAAUUUCAGUCAUUAUCACUUGGAAUGUGUCACAUUAUCUAACAGGUGGUCAGUCAUGAAGGAAACUGGAAGGGUGAAAGACAAAGGCAGCCUACAGGCCUAUGAGAAAAUAUAAUCUUAUUGCAGAGCUUUGCCAAGCACUACAAAACAUGAAACAAUCUGCAUGGAGGAACAGUUCUACUGAGCUGGGCGUGUAGCUGCAAGCUACAGCACUAGCUCAGUGUAAAGGAGGUCCCAAGGGAAAGUGCUCACAGCUCAUGUGAAUGCAGAAGGAGGGCUAAACAGGCUCCAGGGUCAUUUUCAAUGAGGACUGACAGACAGACACUGUCAUAGUAGUGCUUGUUGAGGCAGUUAGAAUAAGAAAGGUAUAUAAAUGCACACUACACCCAUGCCAUAAGACAGUCUAUGAACCCACCAGUGAGUGCCCAAGGAGAAUGAUAACCUAAACCAAAGUGAGGAAACACACAAGAUUUACCCAUAUUUAAACAAAAUAUCAAAUUCCUGUCUGUGUUAUACACUGAGAUGGGAAAUGGGUUGUUCUUUUUUCAAAUAUAAAGCAAAAUUGUAGGAUAAAAGAACCAGCCAAAUAAACCCUCCCUAUCCCUGAAACCAGGGUGAAAACGGUAAAAAGGGCCUGUGAAAGAAACACACUUUGUCCCUGAAACCAAAAUCAAAGAAACACACUCUGCCCCUGACCCACUCAGCACAAAAACCAACCAAUCCCUGAGCAGGGAAACCUACAAAACAUAAUCAAACCAAUCUCUGGGUUUGUCCAAACUCAGGGAUUGGAAUCUGAGCAAUUCUUACCCUGCAAUGCUUCAACCUGGAAAAACUCCCCCACUAAGAAACCCUACAUAAUCCCUGUACCUGUUUAUUUGGUAACUGCCUUUUAUUCUUCCUGGAAGAGGCAGCCACCCUCCUGGAUUCUUCCCCUCCAAUAAAUCUCUUGAAUGGGGUUUGGGUGAGACCUUCUUUUGUCAGAAGGGAGCAGAGCAGAAGGGGAACAGUAGACACACAGGAGCAGAGCAGAGCAGAAGAGUUAACACUUUCCCUGGGGAAACCUUCCCCUAACAAAGCAAAGUGGUUUCACUGGGGAAAACUUUCCCUGGAGCAGGGAGGUAAGCGACUAUGCUUAAGUCAACUUUGUGCUAUUCCUUGGUUCUCAACAGCCAGGAUCCCUUUCCAACCAGCUGCCACACUUACAAAAACACCUACAUUGCUUUUUUCAUGUAAUCCACCGCCACAUACCAACAAAUGCCUUCCUGCUCAAGGUGUUCCAGUCCAUACUUAGACCUUUCUCAGAAAAAAGCAUGGCAGAGAAUGCUAGAGCCCAGGAUUCUGCAGAGACUGUUGCCAGGAGGAAGAAGGUUCAGUAACUGUCACACUCAUUAUACUUGUGGAUGAAGAGAGAAGGUGGCCAGACUCAAUGACUAACAACCUCAAUACUGUAAGAAGGGAGGCAAGAUACAAAGAAUGCCCAUGUGUCUGACACCAGAGUGAAAUACAAGAUGAGCACCCAAACAACAGAGGUUACCCUUCAAGUGCUUGCUACAACCAGCAGCAUCCAAUUACAAGCAUCUUCACGAUGACCAGAAGAUCACUGCUUCUGGAAGUUCACCAUGAUACUUCCCACCAUUUUAAGGAUACAGGUUCUCCCUAGUCCAAGAAUCAAACCCUACCAAGAAGUGAUGAAAAGCAGAGAAGAGAGAUGUGAGUCUUGCCUGGGGCCACACAGAAUAAGGAAGGCAUCUAGGAGAAGACACCCAAAGAGAUUAUUCUUGGAGUUCAUCAUCCAAAGUGCUCUCAAUACACUCAACUCUGUCCUUUAACACAGUCACAAUGGAGCCUUUGAUCUCUUCCUUGGGUCAUGGGCUGAUGAUGACGGCUCAUAAACCAGAUCAACGGAUACAGUUUCUCAACCGAGGUCCCUCCUCCCACGCCAACCUCUCCUUCCUGCCCAAGGGGACUGACUGGAUGUACAGUGUAUGCUGAAAGCAUACUCACUCCUGGAAGGUGACACCUCAUAGGAACAACAGACACAGCUUCAUCGAUGAACGUUAUAAGAAGCUCUGCCAAUAUCCUGGACUAAACCUCCUGAGAGGGUAACUUCCAUGGCAGGAUUGCCUCCUUUCACUAGCACACACCUCAGCCUGCAUGGCUACUGUUAGUCUCCUGGCAUCCUCUCCAACCAAUCCCACCUGUUAGCUCAGAAUCCGACCUUCCCAUUGGCUGCUGCCCCGUUUAUGACAUCAUUCGCCCUUCAACCCAACCUACCAACCCUGGUAGGUUCUUGGGGUUGCCACGGUGAUGCCUGUAAACAAAUUUGGAUCAUCACAGGUCACCUGUGACCAGUGACCAGUAAGUGCUGUCUGAUACUGGACACACUUGCCACUCUGGUCAGCUGAUCAGACAAGGACAAACAAUUCUCUUGCUCCAUUGUACUGUGGAUUGCUGAUACUCUCACCCCAACCAUGGCAGAAAAUUUCCAACGUGCGCCUUUCUUUGGGACAGAAUGUGCUCUGCAGCCCUCUGUACCUGAGCUGAGGAAUGCCAUGCCCUUAGCAGGAAGUGUGUGCAACUUCUCCAGGGUCUCCACCCCAGCUGUGAGUGCAGCAUGGCUCCUGCCAUCAGACUCCAGCACUUGUUGCCAGCAGCUCAUGGACAGUGCCUACUUCUACCUACCAGCUGGCAUGACCAUGGUAACUGCGCUGACUGACCAGGGCCAGACCUCUGCCUCACCACUCUCCUAUCCAGGUGUUCUCCAAUGUGGUCCCAUGGGAAACAUUGACCACAGGGGAGCUGCACUCCAGGACUUCACUGUAACUGUCAUUGACCAGAAUACCACAUUCUCCUCCAUCUCUAGGACAGCCCUGGGUGAUAAUAUUUUAGAUCCCAAUGCCUUAGUCCUCUCCUAUCCAACACUUUCUGCCAGCUUUUUUCAGGCCACACCACCACAGGUACCAAAUCAAGGAUACAACCUGGCACCUUCCUACCUGGAGGGCAGCCAGGUCUAUUACAAUGAAUUCAACAGCCUAGGCCCUCUGAUGCCUGGAGAACUCGGGCAGUGCCUGCAGGCCUGUGGCUCUGUGUCCUACUCUGGAGGUCAGGCCUCUGCCCUGCAACCAGAGAUGGUGAUGAUGCCAAAGGAGAUUCAGUCAACAAAUGUCCAAACACCCUUCUCCACCUCUGCCAUCUACUAUCCCACACCUGUUCAAGACAUGCCAGACACCAGUCUUCAAGUGGUGAAAAUGGAGACAGCCCUGGGAUUGACAGCUGCAGGCCAGACACUCUGUCUGCUGCAGAGUCCAGACCUCUGCAAUGCCUGCAUGCAGGAUGUUCAGAAGUCACCACCUGUCCAUGGGGAGUGGUCAUUAACUGCCCCCAGCGACAGUCCUUCAGAAUUCCUGCCCUUGCCUCCUGCUCCAAUCUUGGAACAAACAGAGAAUAACGACUUGGAUUUGAUGACAGAUGAUCUAUCAACUCCUCUGGAUGCCUAUGAGGGCAUAAAAGAAAACCAAGACCCAUCACUUCUCCCUUUAGCACAUGCCAACAUGCAGCAGGCCCUGAACUACACUGAUUCAGGGAACCUAAAACAGAAGCUUUCUCCUGACAAUGCCACCUUGGGAAGCAGCAGCCUUGGUCAGGAUGAGCCUGGGGUGCUGCAGAGUGCAAUGGGCUCCAGCAUGGACUUUGCAGACAUGACUACACUGGUGGCAGAUAUUCACCUUCCCAGACUCUUCAACUCAAUCACUGAUAUGAACCCAUUCCAAGAUCCCACAGCAAGCCAAUCCAAAGACAUCAGCAGGGAUCAGGUCCAGAAAAGCUCCAGCAACAUCAGUGUACCUGUGGACCAAGUGAGAAAGAAUGGCCAGGAAGCCUCUGAGAUGCUAGAUGGGUCUCCUCGGGCCACAAUCCAGCUCCAGGACCUGGUGAAGGGAGAAGAGGCUGUGGGCAUUGCUGGGUCCAGUGAAGGGGCUAUUGACAACUUGCCUAAGAACUUGGAGGGCAGAGCCCAGAAAGCCACACCCAGCAUGCCCAGCAGAGCUAGGGCUCAGGGGCAAGACAAGACCAAGAGAUCCAGAGAAAACAACUGCAAGAAAACAGAGGAGCUUAAGCAGUCAAGGAACAGAGUCAAGGCAGAAGAAUACAAUACAAUACCAAAGAACCAGAGGAAGAGGAAUCCACCUGAGCUCAGCCACAACAGCUUUAAAAAGCCUCGAACUCACCUCGGCAUGCACAUGCUAGAAUCCGUGCAAGUCUUUCACCCACUGGGGAAGAAGAAUGAGAAGAAAACUGGCAUCUCUUCCUCCCGGGCUCGGCCAAACUUCAGCAGCAAAAAAGAUCCCAGGACAGGCCCAGCCACCACCUCACUUCUGGAUGUGCCAUGUAAUGGCCGAGGCCCUGGUAAAACCCCAAGCAAUGCUCAGAGAACAGAGAGAAAUGCUUACAGGGACGGUCGUCCAUCUCCAUCCCACUAUAAGCUGCCCCCACCUGGCAAGGUCAAGUUAGUACCUCUAGCUUUUCCAGCCCUGGACAUGCCACAAGCAAGACCUAUUUCUACAAAGCCUCUCUCCCUGGCUUCACACAGGGCCCCUGCACUGUACCCUGUGAGACCUCAUUCUAACUCAGCUCAGUCUACCACACUCAAGCCAUCUAAACCAGCUCCUGCCAGCACUUCUUUGAUGGCCUCUGACAAGCCAGUUCUGCCUAUUGCUACCAGUGCCACACGAGAUAACAUAACCAACCCCAUCCAGUCUUGCACUGGGACUCAGCCAGCUGUCUCUAGGCCAGUAUCCUACAGGGCAUCAUCUCACCCUUCACUACAGAGGGAGCUUGCCUCUGCUGACAAGAACAAGGCCCCAUCACCUCCCAAACCUCAAAUCCAACAUCUGCUGCAAGACUUCAGCCACCAACCAAUUCCAUGGAGGAAUGUCCACAUUCCAGGGCCAGUCAUCUCACAGCCCAUCACAGAAGAGCAGAGGCCAGAGAGGGAGGCCAUGAAGAGGCGGGCUCAACAGGAGAGAGAAAAUGCCGCCAAGCACACCUCUCUGGGAAAACCGCAGCUCUUCCUUCAGAGGCAGAAGGAUAUGGAUAUUUCCAGAUAUUUUGGCUAUGUCAUGUAAGGGCUGGCCUAGCAUUUGGAAUACAGUAUUCUUCAACAUAGAGAAGGUGAGAUAAGGAGACAUAUAUACAUGCAUACAUUGGAUAUAAAGACUUGGUAAUAAGUGUAGAUAUGUAGGUAUGUAUUGAGUUAAGGUGAAUAAUAUGUACAUCCCAGGAUUUACACAUAAUUGGUCAAACAUAGUUUCAUUACUUGUAAAUAUCUGAAGACACUAAAAGUGUCUGGAGAAACUAAAGUCUGUUAUAUUUUAUCCAUGAGUAAGUAUAUAUAGAGGGUUUUGAUGGUUUCUUCGUACCUUAGCUGUUAUUCAUUUAUGUCGUCGAAGUAGUAAUAUAAGUUAUAUAAAUAUAUCAUAUGAUAUAAAUCCCUGGUAGUGUUAUUUAAGGUAAAAGUAAUUAGCCAAAAAACCUGUAGUGGUAAUACAAUAAUACUCCUUGACUUUUACUUUUAGGUAAAAUAAAAGUCUUUGAACUUGGUGUGUUUCCUAUAAUGUAUUCUGUGAUAGUAAAUACACUCCUGUUCUUACCACACUUCCUCCCAUUUGGAAACACUCACCACAGCACUUUAAUAUUUACUAGUCUGGGACAGAGCUCCUCCUGAAAUUUCAUGAAAUGAAAUACAGGAGUCCAUGUGCACACUAUCAAGCACCCACCAUAAAGAGAAAAUAGACAAGGUUGACCAAUUUCCUAACUUGGGCAUCAUUUGAUUACUCUUUGUCUCAAGUUGUAUCCAUCUUUGAAAUCACCCAUUAAUGCUUAAUUUUGUGUUUGUGUGUUUGUAUAUCCUCUACCUGAAUUCCCGUGGAACACAUGUGUGGAGUGCCCACAGAGGCAAGAAGAGGCCAUCAGACCUCUGAGGUCUGGAAUUAAGAGAGAUUGAAAGCGUCCAGGAGGUGUUCUGAAUGGUGCAAACGCAGACUUCCCUGGGAAUCACACCUCAAGCCAGAGACUCUGUCAGCUGCAGAAUGGAACUCUGCUACUCCUACACCCUGGAUUACCAGAUGAGGACACCACCUGUUAAUGGGCACAAGUCAUGAACUACCCUCAACCACAACCUUCAGAAUUCCUAGCAUUGCCACAAGCUCCAUGCCUGGAACAAACAGAGAAUGACAACCUGCAUGAGAUGGCAGCAAAUCUGUCAGUGCCUCUGGAUGCCUAUGAGUGCAUGAAAGAACACCAAGACCCAUCUCUACUCUCUUUAACAUACCCUGACAUGCAGCAUCCCUUGCACUUCACUGAUGCAGGGAGCCUAGGGCAGAAGCUUGCUUCUGACAAUGCCACAUUGGGAAGCAGCAGUCUUGGUCAGGAUGAGCCUGGGACAUGCACAGUGUGUUGGUCUCCAGCAUGGACUUUGCAGACAUGACUACACUGGUGGCAGAAUUUCACCUCCCCAAAUGUUCAACCCACUCUCUGAACUGAACCAAUUCCAGGUUCUCACAGCCACCCAAUGCAGAGACUCCAUCGUCAUCAGGAGCGAUUCACACCCUUAAACCAGGUGAAGAGGUAGGAAGAGAAAAGCCCUCAUCUGAUUGAUGGAGAUUCUCUGGCCAGAAUCUAGUAUCAGGACCUGGUGGAGGGACAGAGCCUGGGAACAGUGCUGUGGCUAGAGAAGGUGAUAUUGACAUCAUCACCCAGUAUAUAGAGGGCAAAGCUCAGAAAGCCACACUCUGCAGACCCAGCAGACCUAGGAAUCAUAGAAGACAACACCAAGAGUACUAGAGAAAUCAACUCCAAGAAAGCUGAGGGAGCUGAUGCUAUGAAGUCACAGAGUCAAGACAGAAGACAAGCCCACUGUCCUCAACAACAACAACAAGAUCAAUCCACCUGAGCUCAACCCUGAUGGCUUUGACAAGCUUCAAAACCACCUCAGUGAGCACAUGCUGGAGUCUGUGAAGGUCUGUCACUCACUGUGGAAGAAGGGUGAGAGGGAAACUGGCAUCUCCUGAACCUUGAACUCUUUGUGCCACUCUGUGCUCUAAUCGUAACAGAGUUGGUUACACUUUAGCCUCUGGGGCAAUUGCCAUUUUCUUUAUCCAGGAUUACAUAUAGCAAGCAGAAUUCAUUUAUUUAUUAACUCACUUUUCGUUUCUUGAAUUGGGACCCACUCCAUACCCAGCAUCUCCUAGAACUGACUACAUGGAACAGGCACUCACUGAACUCAAAAAGAUCUGCCUGCUUCCCCCUCUGCAACAACCUCCAACUCAGCCUCUGCCUCCCCUACAGCCUCCACAUCUGCACACUCCUAGGCCACUGUCUCAAGUGUGCUGGGACGAAAGGAAUUCUCCAACCAGCAAGGUGGAAUCAACGUUUUUUUUUUUUUUUUUUUUUUUUCUGUACCCGUGGAUAACCACAUUUCAGUGCAUGACUUGAUGAAGAGUCCAUGUGUACUCCAGGGUACAUUUUUGGUACAUACCUAAACUCCAAAGAGACUAAGCCACAUGUUUUUACAAAUGCAACUUAACUCAGAUUCAUUUUUCCCUGACAAUCUGUCUUGUUUCAGUUGUAGGCUCUACUUGUUACAAUGCCCUUGAAGCACUGACCUCAUAUGAGGUGUGCUCAUGCUAUCCUGGGUAUUUUCUACUUUUGUAUUAAAGUUAUGAUUGCUUUUCUACUUCUAAGGAGUGGGGAAUCUCAGAAAUUUUAUUCACCCUCUCCAUAGAGACUCAAGGUGCAACUUUCUUCACAAUAUCUAACUCCCAACUACGGUGUAUGUCCAACAUUGUUCGUUCUAACAAGGGCUAAGUCCAGUCUAACUCACCUAGAAAAUAUUAACAAACCAGCAUGAAAAGAUCCUACUACGUGAAUGCAAUGAUCCUCACAGGGACAAAUUUGAGUACAGCAGAAUGAUGGAAAGCAAUGGCUUAGGGAGGCCUCUGGUUUUAUCACUCUCUGUGUGUGGCUUAAUGACAGCUUUGACCACUGCCAUCAGACUACUGUGUUCAUCUUAUACAUUAGGAGCAGUAGAAACACAUUUGGAUGGAUAUCUUCUAAUCUUGGUAUUAUUAUUUUAAACUUUAUGUAUUCAAACUAAGGGUCUUGUAAAAUAAUCCUUAUUAAAGAAACUCAGGAAGCACUUUUGAUAUUAAAGCAAUUCACACAAUGCUGUACCUGUA